CCCGGAGGCGCGCUCGGCCGGGGGAGGGAGGGGACCAGGGCCAGAGCGGAGGCGAGGGUCACCUGGGGUUGGGGGUGGGCGCACCAGCUCUCCGCACGCUCCUCUCUUUCUAGUCCUCGCCGCCACCACCUCGCACAGGUCGGAGAUCCCUCCUUUCCUUGGCUCCUUUGCGUUGGGGAGGGGAUAAGGCUGAGGGGUCGGCGCUUGGUCAGCGGGCGGGGACGGUAGAUUUCACUUGCACCUGACAGUCCCUAUUCUUGCCAGUUUCGCCGGGCAAAUCCUGGCGACCAGUGAAUGGGAAGAUGGAGAUGGAUGUUGAGGGAGUUUCUCCGCGCCCGGAGCCCAUCCCCCGCUCCCAGGGGGCUGGCGGAGCCUGCCAGGCGCCGCCACAGCCGCCCCAGCCCCAGCCGCCGCCGCAGCAGCUGGCUCAGGAUGAACUGCCCGGCGAGAGUGCAGGCGCUGAGGACAGCGACGAUCCCGAGACGAGACCCAACGGCGAGAAAGGAGAGAGCAAGAGAUGCCAUGGUCAACAAGGUGAUGAAUACCACUAUGAGCUCACUACAAGAUCUCAAAGAUUUCAAGCCACUGGCUGUUCCAAAGCAUGAAGCCGCCCUUCCGGAGCAGUGGCAGGAGGCAGGCAGGGAGGAGGCCCUGAGUUUUGGCCAGAUGAUGGACCGUCUCCUUAGGUGUCCAGGGAGCUGCUGAAACAUAGUGAGGAAGAUGCUGCUGAUCCAAAGGAUAAAAACACAGAAACUGAAACCAAGAAGCACCUAAAGUGGACUCACGCCCAGCAUCCCUGCAGACUGAUGUUCUCUCAGCUAUAGUUCUGCAUUGAACUGUUUUUCCUUUGCUAUCACCUGCCUAACACACAGUCCUGGAUGCUUUUGACUGGUUGGAUUUCUUUUUUUUUUUUUUUCCCUGCCUUUUCAUUUUCUUUCCUUUUUUUCCUGCCUUUUCUUUUUCUUUCCUUGACCCUGGGAAUUACAAACAAGAAAUUGCUUUAAAAAGUAUUAUUCGGUGCUGAAAAUAGCCUUGUUUAUGAACAAGUUUUAUCCCUAGGGAUUUCCUGAAAUGCAAUCUCAGGUUACCUUGUAAAUGGGGCUGUGCCAUUUGAUUUGUAUAGUACUGAUCUGUAAGUUAAAAUACAUUUCCUUUCUUUUGUUUCAUUCUUUUUUAAAAAGUCUGGAUCCAGGUAAUGGCCUGAGUCACAUUUGCUUAGCUACUGAAGUGAUCUCAAUGUGUUAUCGCUUAGAGUUGAAACAUAAUCAAACAUACGUUAUACCUGGGGCUCUUGCACACUCUUUGAUACAUAUGUCACACUACAAAGAAACACAAACCUUGUAGGUUGAAAUUUAAUUCCUGUUUGAUCCUGCAGCUAGAAUGCUAAAUAAAUUGUAAAUAUCAAAAUUGGCUUCAAAUACCCUGAAUAUAAGCUAGUCAACAGUAAGUGGAUGGUUCCAGAAUACCAUUUUCUAAGACAAAGCAGGAAUUAGAGAUCAACUGACCUCAUCCAUAAUGUUGCUCAGGUCUGUCUGUGGAUCUGUCCAUUUUGGAGUAAAAAACAAGGCAUGCUUCUGUGAUUGUGUUUAUGAAAACUGUAGUAUUUCAGAUUUAUGUUUUGUAAUUGUGCUUGCCUUGCAAUAAAACACCUUCAGUUGACUCGCAAUAAGGUCUCUGUCAAUUUCCUGCAAAACUGUGUCCUUAUUGGCUUUCUAAAAAAGUUCAGUGUAGACCUAUCAGUGGUGACCUGCUAGACAUUUCAGCUGGAUCUAGCAUUAUUGCUCUUUCAGAAAUAACACUAGAGCUGUCCAUUGUCUACACAUGGGGUCAGAGUUGUACAGUCAGAUUCUCAAUUCUUCAUAUUAGCAUCAACUACAGAAAUCUAUAGUCACAGCCUAACCCUGUUACGUAUAUGUGCUGCCAUCUGCCAUUGUGUUCCAACUCUGGAGUCCCUAUUUAUUUCUGAGACUCUAGGAUAAGCCAAAAACCCUCUGGACCUCAGUGUCCUCAUAUACAAAAUGGGGAUAAUGAUACUUCCUAUGAUUGUGGUGAUAAGUGCCUGUAAAAGGACAUCACAUGGAUGGUACUUUGCACAUUGUAAAUUCAUUGGAAUGUGGCAAUAGUCAAUAAAUGGUGG
rnacentral:lncRNA from 1 species